CCUACACAUGCAAGUCGAGCGGAUGAAGAGAGCUUGCUCUCUGAUUUAGCGGCGGACGGGUGAGUAAUGCCUAGGAAUCUGCCUGGUAGUGGGGGAUAACGUUCCGAAAGGAACGCUAAUACCGCGUACGUCCUACGGGAGAAAGCAGGGGACCUUCGGGCCUUGCGCUAUCAGAUGAGCCUAGGUCGGAUUAGCUAGUUGGUGAGGUAAUGGCUCACCAAGGCGACGAUCCGUAACUGGUCUGAGAGGAUGAUCAGUCACACUGGAACUGAGACACGGUCCAGACUCCUACGGGAGGCAGCAGUGGGGAAUAUUGGACAAUGGGCGAAAGCCUGAUCCAGCCAUGCCGCGUGUGUGAAGAAGGUCUUCGGAUUGUAAAGCACUUUAAGUUGGGAGGAAGGGCAUUAACCUAAUACGUUAGUGUUUUGACGUUACCAACAGAAUAAGCACCGGCUAACUUCGUGCCAGCAGCCGCGGUAAUACGAAGGGUGCAAGCGUUAAUCGGAAUUACUGGGCGUAAAGCGCGCGUAGGUGGUUCGUUAAGUUGGAUGUGAAAGCCCCGGGCUCAACCUGGGAACUGCAUCCAAAACUGNCGAGCUAGAGUACGGUAGAGGGUAGUGGAAUUUCCUGUGUAGCGGUG
rnacentral:rRNA from 1 species